GAAGAUUUGGCAUUCAAACAGAAGCAAAAGGAAGAACAGAAAGCCCUGCAAGAAUUAAAACAGAAAGCUGCAAAAGGGGGUCCUUUAGCUGGUGGUGGAAUAAAAAAAUCUGGGAAAUGACACCUUACCAUUAAUAUUCUCACUCCGAAGAUGAAGCUUCUUUUCACCAAUAUACAAACCUUACCAAAAUAUGUCUUUUAGAACUGACAGUUGUUAAUCAACAAGUCAUUUACUGGGACCUUCUUGAAGAGGUUGUGGAAUUCACGGUGAAGUGAGAGGCAUCCUUGAAUGAUUGAUUGCUGCAAUUUGGAAGCAAGGAGAAUGAACACUAUAAGAUUCAAUUCUGGUCAUUUUGAGUGAAAUUAAAUUUAAAAAAUAGAUUCAAAGAAUGAUGUGAAACACGUUUAUUCUGGAUUUAGAAUACAGUAUUUUGAAUUUUUUUUAUUCCUUCUGUACUUUGUAUGAAAAACAUAUAUUCAGAAAUUAA